GCUGGUCCAAGAGUUUUCUGUGCCCGGUCCCCUACCCUGCACGCACACCACGUCUAUUCUGCUCUUAACACUGGUGUAAGAGAAAGCCACAUAACACCGGUUUAAGUAAACCUCACAAUACGCCCUACGGUGCCCCACAAGAUCCUCGGGUCGCCCGAAACGGUUAGAAGCAGUUAACUAGGUCCCUUGUGUACCCUUCCUAUCCUUUUACCGCACGAUACCUCUCAACUUCUGGCAAGCCCUCUGUUCUCCUGGCUACCGUCGUACUAGCCGAGUAGUCGUCGGAGGAACGUUCUUCAGUUCACGAUGCACGACGGAGUUCUGCCCUGUGAUGACCGAUCUCCUCGGUAGGCACGAAUCCGUCAUGAACAUCGCUCCGAGCAGGCCGUGCUGUGGAGAAUCAUAGCAAGUAAACGGUCGUACCGUAAAGGAAAGACAAGUGAUCGCAACGUAGUGACACAGACCAGUAAACACUUAAAUACUGGGACAUAGCUUGAGGGAAAUAAAAGACGAUGGAACAACAAUUGACAUUCCCGGAGCCAAAUUCCGGUCCGUAUACGGAGGUAAGAUCUUUUUUGAGUACGACGAAUUCUAGGAACAACGACACGUAAGGUUGUUCUCUUCUAGUCGAUGUGAAGAAAAACGAAAACGGGACUUGUACCAGGGUGUAACUCGGCGUACACCGAGACAUGAUACCGAACUUCGU
rnacentral:rRNA from 1 species